rnacentral:rRNA from 1 species
GACGAACGCUGGCGGCGUGCUUAACACAUGCAAGUCGAACGGAAAGGCCCUGCUUUUGUGGGGUGCUCGAGUGGCGAACGGGUGAGUAACACGUGAGUAACCUGCCCUUGACUUUGGGAUAACUUCAGGAAACUGGGGCUAAUACCGGAUAGGAGCUCCUGCUGCAUGGUGGGGGUUGGAAAGUUUCGGCGGUUGGGGAUGGACUCGCGGCUUAUCAGCUUGUUGGUGGGGUAGUGGCUUACCAAGGCUUUGACGGGUAGCCGGCCUGAGUGGGUGACCGGCCACAUUGGGACUGAGAUACGGCCCAGACUCCUACGGGAGGCAGCAGUGGGGAAUAUUGCACAAUGGGCGGAAGCCUGAUGAAGCAACGCCGCGUGCGGGAUGACGGCCUUCGGGUUGUAACCCGCUUUCGCCUGUGACGAAGCGUGAGUGACGGUAAUGGGUAAAGAAGCACCGGCUAACUACGUG